UACGAAGGGGGCAAGCGUUACUCGGAUUUAUUGGGCGUAAAGAGUGCGUAGGCUGAAUUAUAAGUCAAAAGUGAAAUCCUUUAGCUUAACUAGAGAACUGCUUUUGAAACUGUAAUACUAGAGUUUAGUAAGAGAUAGAAGAAUUUUCAAUGUAGAGGUGAAAUUCAUAGAUAUUGAAAGGAAUGCCAAUAGCGAAAGCAUCUAUCUAAGAAAAAACUGACGCUGUUGCACGAAAGCGUGGGGAGCAAACAGG
rnacentral:rRNA from 1 species